GACGAACGCUGGCGGCGUGCUUAACACAUGCAAGUCGAACGGAAAGGCCUUUUCGGAGGUACUCGAGUGGCGAACGGGUGAGUAACACGUGGGUGAUCUGCCCUGCACUCUGGGAUAAGCCUGGGAAACUGGGUCUAAUACCGGAUAGGACCGCACUUUAGUGUGUGUGGGGGAAAGUUUUUUCGGUGUAGGAUGAGCCCGCGGCCUAUCAGCUUGUUGGUGGGGUAAUGGCCUACCAAGGCGGCGACGGGUAGCCGGACUGAGAGGUUGGUCGGCCACAUUGGGACUGAGAUACGGCCCAGAUGCCUACGGGAGGCAGCAGUGGGGAAUAUUGACCAAUGGGCGCAAGCCUGAUGCAGCGACGCCGCGUGGGGGAUGACGGCCUUCGGGUUGUAAACUCCUUUCGCCAGGAACGAAGCGUUUUGUGACGGUACCUGGAGAAGAAGCACCGGCUAACUACGUG
rnacentral:rRNA from 1 species